rnacentral:rRNA from 1 species
AUGGCCCAACUUCGACAUCAACAGCGGGGGCGGCGGCCAAGGGGGGUGCCUUGCCCCCCAAGGCAAGUGGAGGCGCCCCCUCCCCUAGGGUUCCCAACCCUAGGCGCAGGGGGGCCCAAGGGGGGUGCACCAGCCCACCAGGGGCGCUCAUUAGGGACAUGUUGUGGUCUAUGUAUUCACACGUGUAUUACGAUUUCCGGAUAA